GAGAUGUGGAGUUGUCCCCUCUUGGUUCUGGCCUCACUUCCCUCCCUCUUCUGUCCCCAGAUCCCCACAGCUGAGUCCUCUCAUACAUCCACCUACAGGGUCAGCGUUACUCCAGAUUUUUAGGAAGAGCUGUGCUGUAAGAAUUAAACCAAGCUUUAGCCAAGUAGAUGAAAAGAGGGAUUCCCUGGAGAGAUACUGGAGUAGCCACAGCAGGGCAAGGCGGCAGGACACUGGGCCUCCGAGACAGCUGGAACCAGCAACACAAAUCCUGCAGCACCCCCACCCACUCGGACAUUUUCUGCUGCCUGAGAUACUGCCUCGCUUUCCUCAGAAAGAAGCCCCCAAAAAAAAUCCUGGGAAAGAAGUUGGAUUUUCCUGGCUUACGUCAAGCGCUCAUCCCUGGAAUUUUCAAAGGUUAUCAGAGCAUAUGGAGAUAUUUGCACCAAAGAAGCAGCCUGAACCAGGAGAGGAAAAAAAAUAGGAUUUUAGUAAGAGAGUGCUCUAAAAUCUACAGCUGCCCAGGCUGAGCACUUAGCCCAUUCCUUUCUGUCCACCUGAGAGGAAGGACAGAUCAAUAUUAUCUCCAUGAAUGAUGGUUCUUCUCACUGGAGAGAGAGCCUUUCCAAAACAAACAAACAAAAAAAUACUAAAAAAAUCUCUAAAUGUAUUUUGGAAGUUCUAUGGAGAACAUCAUUUGUUCCUACAACAUUUUUGUACAACAUCAUCCUGGGUGUGUCAUGCUGGAAGAUCUUUUGUUUGGCCUGUAGGCGGGAGCGGCCUCUUUUUGUCUUUGUGGUCACCGAGCCAGCAUAGUUCUCAACAUGAAGUCAGGUCUUGGUGAACAUAAGAAAGGUGGAAGGGGAAGGCAGAGGAAGGAACAUUUAUUCAGAUGGCAUCCUAGCCCUUUAGCUUCCAGCAAUCUCUUACGGAAAAAAGUAAACCAAAGGGAAGAACUAGCCAAGCAUAUGUUCUACAGGCCAAAGAAACAGAACUAUGGGCACUGAAGAUGGCUGGGCUCACCAGCCUCAUUGCCGUCAUUCUCUCCAACCAUCCCAGUCCUAGAGCUUCAGCUCCAUGUAUCAGAAGCUCCUCAUUCAAUCCCUCACUCAUUUGACCCACAGACACUGAGCACCUACUAUGUGUCAAGCAACUCAUGAUUUUAGAACACCCAGACCCAUUGGACAGGCAGGACAAAAAAUUCCACCAAAGCAUUGGCUCACCUCUUCUACUUUCUCCCAAGCAAUGAAAAGAAAACACACUAGAAUUCACUGGAAAAUUGAUUUGUCACAUAAAGCACCUCCAGAACAUCCAGCUCUUAAUAAAUGUCCUUGUUGAAUUAAUACCUAUUGUUGGGGGAAAAAUGUGAUGCCUCUUCAGUGGACUUGUUGGCUUCUAAACUAACCUCUACUCUCCUCUCUUCUUUCCAAACUGGACGCCCA
rnacentral:lncRNA from 1 species